AUUGAACGCUGGCGGCAGGCUUAACACAUGCAAGUCGAGCGGGGUGAUGGUGCUUGCACUAUCACUUAGCGGCGGACGGGUGAGUAAUGCUUAGGAAUCUGCCUAUUAGUGGGGGACAACAUCUCGAAAGGGAUGCUAAUACCGCAUACGUCCUACGGGAGAAAGCAGGGGAUCACUUGUGACCUUGCGCUAAUAGAUGAGCCUAAGUCGGAUUAGCUAGUUGGUGGGGUAAAGGCCUACCAAGGCGACGAUCUGUAGCGGGUCUGAGAGGAUGAUCCGCCACACUGGGACUGGGGCACGGCCCAGACUCCUACGGGAGGCAGCAGUGGGGAACAUUGGACAAUGGGGGGAACCCUGAUCUAGCCAUGCCGCGUGUGUGAAGAAGGCCUUAUGGUUGUAAAGCACUUUAAGCGAGGAGGAGGCUCUUUUGGUUAAUACCCAAGAUGAGUGGACGUUACUCGCAGAAUAAGCACCGGCUAACUCUGUGCCAGCAGCCGCAGUAA
rnacentral:rRNA from 1 species